CUUCUGGCAGGUGGAGGGGGAAAGGAACCAUUUCGAAAUACUCCAAACCAUUCUGUUCUUAAAGCCUGCCCUCAGGAGAAACGAUUUAACCAGAGUCUAACUUACCAAGGGGAGAGAAAUACAAAACUCCAGGCCCCCUAACCAUCCUUUCCCACCUACAGUGGGGAAAAAACUGAUUAGUACUUGAGAAGUUCACAGUCCAGAGGCACAGGCUGACUAAACUACUGUGAUCCAACCAUAGGACUACAGACUGCCUCCUCUGCCCCAACAUCUCACCACCACAUUACUGAAGCCCUAUUUAAAGCAGUCCCUUUUACUUGGUACAUCAUGUCCAACUACCAAGAAAAAUUACAAGGCAUAUUAAAAGACAAAAGCACAGUUUGAAGAGACACAGCAAGCAUCAGAACCAACCUCAGAUAUGGCAGGAUGUUGGAAUUAUCAGACUGGAAAUUCAAAACAACUGUGAUUAAUAUGUUAAGGGCUCUAAAGGAUAAAGCAGAAAGCAUGCAAGAAAAGAUGGGAAAUGCAAGCAGAGAGAUGGAAAUUCUACAAAAGAAUCAAAAAGAAACACGAGUAGGGGCAGGACCAGUGGCAUAGUGGUUAAGUUCGCAUGCUCCACUUUGGCGGUCCUGGGUUCGCAGGUUCGGAUCCCAGGCAUGGACCUAGCACCACUUGUCAAGCCCACUGUGGCGGAAUCCCACAUAAAAGAAAGGAAUAUUGGAAUAGAUGUUACCUCAGAGACAACAUUCCUCAAGCAAAAAGGGGAAGAUUGGCAACAGAUGUUAGCUUAAGCUUAAUCUUCCUCAAAAAAAAAAAAAAAAGAAAGAAACACUAGUGAUCAAGAAUACUGUAACGGAAAUGAAGAAUGCCUGUGAUGGGCUUAUUAGUAGACUGGCCAUGGCUAAGGAAGGAAUCUCUGAGCUUGAGGAUAUCUCAAUAGAAAUCUGAAAAAAAAAAGAAGAACAAAAAACUGAAAAGCAAAGAGAAAAAAGACCAAGGGAAAAAACAAAACAGGGCCCAGCCCCACGGCUGAGUGGUUAAAGUUCACAUGCUCCACUUCGGCAGCCUGGGUUCACAGGUUUGGAUCCAGGCGUGGACCUGCUCCACUCGUCUGCCAUGCUGUGGAGGUGUCCCAUAUACAAGGUGGAGGAAGACUGGCACAGAUGUUAGCUCAGGGCUAAUCUUCCUCAAGCAAAAAAAGAGGAAGACUGGCAAUGCAUGUUAGGUCAGGGCAAAUCUUCCUCACCAGAAAAAAAACAGAACAAUAGCCAAGAACUGUGAGACAACUAUAAAAGAUGUAACAUAGAUAAUGGGAAUACCAGAAGGAGAAGAAAGAGAGAAAGGAACAAAAGAAAUGAUUGAAACAAAAAUGACUGAGAAUUUUCCCCAAAUUAAUAUCAAAUACCAAAACCACAGAUCCAGGAAGCUGAGAAAACACCAAGCAGGAUAAAUACCAAAAAAAAAACCCCACACCCAGGCAUAUCAUAUUUAAAAUCAAAGAUAAAGAAAAGGGGGAGCUUACAGGGUCUUCUAACAAAUAGAAUAUAGGCUAUGAGGGAAAGAAUAAAGUUAGGGAUAAUGGCAAGACUUUUGGCCUAAGCAACUGGAAAGAUGGAGUGAAAAAUUUGGGGAAGGGAGGACUUGAGGUUAGGAAUUCAAU
rnacentral:lncRNA from 1 species